AACGAACGCUGGCGGCAGGCCUAACACAUGCAAGUCGAGCGAGGACUUCGGUUCUAGCGGCGGACGGGUGGGUAACGCGUGGGAAUGUGCCCUUCUCUACGGAAUAGCCCUGGGAAACUGGGAGUAAUACCGUAUACGCCCUUUUGGGGAAAGAUUUAUCGGAGAAGGAUCAGCCCGCGUUGGAUUAGGUAGUUGGUGGGGUAAUGGCCUACCAAGCCGACGAUCCAUAGCUGGUUUGAGAGGAUGAUCAGCCACACUGGGACUGAGACACGGCCCAGACUCCUACGGGAGGCAGCAGUGGGGAAUCUUAGACAAGGGGGGCAACCCUGAUCUAGCCAUGCCGCGUGAGUGAUGAAGGCCUUAGUGUUGUAAAGCUCUUUCAGCUGGGAAGAUAAUGACGGUACCAGCAGAAGAAGCCCCGGCUAACUCCGUG
rnacentral:rRNA from 1 species